ensembl:lncRNA
UGUGGCCCAUGAACCCCCACUGGUUUUCCUUUUCGGCCCACUUGUUAAAGAGGUUGAGUAGCCCUGGUCUACACUGUUGCAGGAGAUGUCUUCAGGGUUUGAUGCAAGAUAAAAUGCUCCUGUUGGCUCUACUUUGCAACAUGCAAUGUGAUUCACUUUGUUUUUUGGUUUCUUUUAUAACCCUGGGGGCUCAUGGACAGAAUCUGCCAAACUGAAAUAUGUAAUACUGUCUUCAAAUCUGUAAUAUGAAAGGUUUACAAAUGAGCCAAUUACAAAUUUGUAAAUCAUUUGAAAAUAUUUCAGAUAAAAUGUUCCAUUAUAAAAUAUCUACAAAUUAGCUAAUUUACAAAUGAAUAUAGGCGAACAUUAUGUCCGUGUUCACACAAGAGUUUGAAAUUCAACUCAAAUCCGAUUUGGGAAUGCAAAGGCAGCAAGACAAGCUUCACGUCAAAGAAAAGUGGAAGCUUGUGUGUGUGCGUAGGUCCGGUUUACAUGGCGUAAACUUGUAAAGUAGGGCUAUGUGUUCUGGCAUUACAUUUUUUUGUUGGAUUCAAAGCACUUGGCCACUGGUCCGAAUUAAACCAGGUUCGCUGCUCAGUGUGUAAAUUGGUUGCAAGAGUUUUUCUCUAUAAUUUGCCAAGUCAUAUACAUUAAUUUUUACGCUUUAUUCAAGUCAUGAUUAUGUUGUACGGAGAGUAAAUUUUUUUCUUGCUAUGUAGUUUAUAUUAAAUUAUCAGUUCAGUGUUUAUUGGAACUGUUUAACGUUUUUUUUCAGUGAUGUAAUUUCUAAAAUAAGAGCCAGAGAAACGGCAACCCUGCGAAACUGGGUCAUAUUUAUCCCUUCCAUCUGACUGCUGAGCUGUAUUCAAACUGUUGUGUUUUUGUGGAUGUUUCCUGAGUGACUGAUGCUAUGUUGGAUACAUUUUUGUUGAUUGGUGAAGAUAAAACCAUUGAUGUGCACUUGGUGUCCAUCUUUAAUUUGUUCCAAUUCAUGUCUGCAACUCAUUCCGUCGCAGGGCUUUUUGUGUUAAUGUAAAUGCUUAUUUUUACAACGUUUAUAAUUUUGUUGAUUUUCUUUGUUUUUUGUUAUCCAUAUGUUAUGAAUCGACAGUGGUCACAUAAAUAACUUUAAAUAAAUAAAUCCUGUGUUCUUGUGUUGGUUCUCUCCGAUAAUAGGCUUCACCUAUGUAUUAUCCUCUUGACAGGAAUUUAACUUCUGUGAAACUGACCAAGAUUAGGGGAGGAAGAGGCAGUCUUUACCUUGUUGUGUCAGGAAAGAAACAGCACCUCUUUGUGUGUGUGAGUUGUGACAUUCUGAGAAAUCAACCUAUUUCCUCUUAUGUUUGUGUGUGUGUGUGUACGCAGCUUUUUUUUUUUAUGAUAUCUUCCCCUUUAGGUUGCCUUCCUCUUCUGUGGUGGCUGAGAGAAAUUACUACCUUGUGUCUGACCUUUCAGAUUACACCGCUGAUCAAGCGCAGAUAUCGGAAGAUGUUUAGAGUUACAUUUCACCUGGAUUGAAAAUCGUCAUUUACAAACAAAUGUAAUGUCAUAAAGUGUUCCAACUAACUCUAGUCGUUGAUUACACAGACAAUGAGGGAUGAGCUUUAUAGAGGAAAAGCAUUGUCCGGAUUAUUAAUAAAGAUUAUUAAAUACAUUUUUAAUUUGUUACAGUGAAAAGACCAACAACCCAACAACCAACAUUGCCCUAACUAAAUCCCCUCUAGUGCCUGUCUUUCUUUACUUGUUUAUUUAAAAAGGACAAUGCACUGAAAAUGUUAAUGUGCCAUAAUUAACAAAGAAAAAAACAUCAUCUGUAGUUUGUUGUAUAGUCCAUAUCUUUACAUUUGGGGUCCAUUGUGUUUCCCUUCCUGAUGCAGACCCUGUCUGUCCAUCAGUGUUGUAUUUAAGAUGUCAUUUAAUUUAAUAUAAUGUAUUCUGAUCUGCCCAAUGAGGGCCGAUGCACAUCCGCUUCCCGGAUCACUGACACAUUUACAGAAAUAUAUUUUAAUGGGUACUGUCCAUGUCAAAUAAAAACCAAUAAAUACCUAAGAAAA